CCUGGGCCUUGGGAGAAGCUUGAAGGAGGCUGAACUGUAGAAGAAUGGAAGGGCAUGCCAGGCCAGAAACACUAACUGUUCUGGAGCAAAGACUGGUGGAGAGUCUAACUAUGUAGAGUAUCGUUCUGUGUUUUCGAGGUUUUGGAGGGAGAGAGAAAGAUUUCGGGCAAGUGACACACUCCACUUGAUCUUAGCCAAAAGGCCGAGAAGCAAUGCAAAUGACACACUCAGCGUUGGCACAAGUCUGCCUUGGAAGUUCAGGGUUGUGGUGCUUGACCUAAGGAUUCAAUGGAGAUCCUGCAGGGUGGAAAGAGAGAAUUGACUCCUGACUCCUGGCCUCUAUAUGUGCACCAUGGAAUGUGGAGACCUUCUUCAUGUUGCUACAAGAUGGGGAAUCCAAGUUGACCAGGAACUUCUGGGGAGUGUCAUUUGAACUAAAAGUAAGCCUUUAACCCCCACUCAGGAGGCAGAGGCAGGAGGAUAUCUAUGAACUCAAAACCAUCCUGGUCUCCAUAUCAAGUUCCAGGCCAGCCUGGGUUACAUAGUAAGACCCUGUCUAAAUUAAAUAAAUAUACAAAUAACAAACAAUAAAUAUAAAUGCAAGCUCUCGGCAACUGAAAGAAUAAAGAGUUUUUUCCCAAAC
rnacentral:lncRNA from 1 species